rnacentral:rRNA from 13 species
CAAGAAAUUAAGGGUUUAUGGGGAAUACCUUGGCAUUCAAAAGCGAUGAAGGACGUGGAUACCGACGAUACACUUCGGGAAGUUGGAAUCAAACUAAGAUCCGAAGGUCUCCGAAUAAGGAAACUUAAUUACUACUUACUGAAUUAAUAAAUAAGAAAGAGCAAACCUAGAGAAUUGAAACAUCUUAGUAUCUAGAGGAAAAGAAAGUAAAAACGAUUUCCGUAGUAGCGGCGAGCGAACUGGAAAUAGCCUAAACUUAAUAUUAAGGGUAGUGGGAAUAAUAUUAAAAUGAUUAAAUAUCUCAAUUAGAUGAAUAAGGUGGAAAUCUUAACCAUAGAAAGUGAUAGUCUUGUAAUCGAAAGUUGAAAUAAUCAAAUUUAUUCCCAAGUAGCAUAGAGCACGUAUAAUUCUGUGUGAAUCUGCGAGGACCACCUCGUAAGGCUAAAUAUUCUUGAAUGACCGAUAGUGAAAUAGUACCGUGAGGGAAAGGUGAAAA